CUCAAUGGAAACCAGUGGGAUGUCUUAUUACAUCACAUUUAGAAUCUGGCCAUAAAAUUGUACUUUAAAUACAACCCAAAAUACCUUCAGUAGAACUUCAUAGUUAAUACAAAUGAAACCACAAGAGGGCAGGCAAAAAUGGUUUACAUGCAACUGUAGCUUCUUGGGCAAAACAAGUUAGUGCAUAUUUGUUUGGAAGAUUGUUGUCUGUAUCUAAGGUGCGUUUGGGAGG